rnacentral:misc_RNA from 1 species
GAAAUGCGAUAAGUAAUGUGAAUUGCAGAAUUCAGUGAAUCAUCGAAUCUUUGAACGCACCUUGCGCUCCUUGGUAUUCCCUGGAGCAUGCCUUUUUGAGUAUCAUGAAAUCUUCAAAGUAAAUCUUUUGUUAACUCAAUUGGUUUCUACUUUGGUAUUGGAGGUCUUUGCAGCUUCACACCUGCUCCUCUUUGUUCAUUAGCUGGAUCUCAGUGUUAUGCUUGGUUCCACUCGGCGUGAUAAGUUAUCUAUCGCUGAGGACACUGUAAAAGGUGGCCAAGGUAAAUGCAGAUGAACCGCUUCUAAUAGUCCAUUGACUUGGACAAUACUUUUAUGAUCUGAUCUCAAAUCAGGUAGGACUACCCGCUGAACUUAAGC